rnacentral:rRNA from 1 species
AACGAACGCUAGCGGCAGGCCUAACACAUGCAAGUCGAGCGAGCAUUUCGGUGCUAGCGGCGGACGGGUGAGUAACGCGUGGGAACGUGCCCUUUUCUGCGGAAUAGUCCUGGGAAACUGGGGGUAAUACCGCAUACGCCCUUUUGGGGAAAGAUUUAUCGGAGAAGGAUCGGCCCGCGUUGGAUUAGGUAGUUGGUGGGGUAAUGGCCCACCAAGCCGACGAUCCAUAGCUGGUUUGAGAGGAUGAUCAGCCACACUGGGACUGAGACACGGCCCAGACUCCUACGGGAGGCAGCAGUGGGGAAUCUUAGACAAUGGGGGCAACCCUGAUCUAGCCAUGCCGCGUGAGUGAUGAAGGCCUUAGGGUUGUAAAGCUCUUUCAGCUGGGAAGAUAAUGACGGUACCAGCAGAAGAAGCCCCGGCUAACUCCGUG